rnacentral:lncRNA from 1 species
AAAAUGAUUGAUCUAUACUUUAAAGUAUGUCUAUAUACAUCCGUAUGUAGCUUACUAGUGAAAUCUCUACAAAGACUUAUAUUUAGGAAUGGAGGGAGUAACUUGCAUGCAUGUGGGACUCUAGAUUUUCACCGUCAUCUUUACAUCGUUCGAGUUCUGUCGUUCGAAUAACAUGGCUCUAAGAUUAAAAUCUCACAAUACAGCAAAGAGGCGCUGGCAUCCUACAAUAGUGGGCACAGGCAUUUUAGAACAAACCUACCAGCCCCACGAGGAAAUGGAUGUGUCUAUAUAUACACAUCACGACGGGUUUUGCCUUUUAAUACGGUGCAUGCACGAAACGGCUAAAUCAUGGCAAAUAAUAGUGCGAGCAAUGUUGGCAAAAUGACCCAUUUUGCAGCACCACACUGGGCUACUGUGGCAAAGCCCAAAAACUGCAAUGACACAGAACCAGCGUGAACCUCUACCUAUGUACUGCACCAUCGCGGCCACUGCUAGGAAUCACCGCCAAAACCAUCAUCGGAGAAGCUCCACGUAAGAGAUGGAAAUCGGCGACGACCGAGGAGAGAGAAAUGGCGAGAGGGAAUUGAGUGACAAGGGGACUUGGAAGAGAGGGUGAUUGGGUUAGACAGAACAGAUGCAAUUGUUCACUCAGUUUUUUUUAUCCCUGACUGAACGUUUUUCUGAUGAAGACUUGACAAUAGCACUUGCACUGAGAUGUGUGCAAAACAUCUAACGUGUCGACACGUUCACCCGAAAUUACUACAAUACAUGUGUUUUUCUUCGAAAAGGAGGAUAAACCUCUGUCUUCUAUAUCAAUUGAUGCACACAACCAUACUACAUCUUCAUGUAUCAUCUUAAAAACAAAAAAAAUGAUUUCUUUAACAGAGUACUUCUAUUAAAGCCAUAAUAUAAGACGUUUUUAUGAGCUAGUACUACAACAACCAACAUCCAUGGCCCCGG